GAUGAAGAACGCAGCGAAAUGCGAUAAGUAAUGUGAAUUGCAGAAUUCAGUGAAUCAUCGAAUCUUUGAACGCACAUUGCGCCCCCCAGUAUUCUGGCGGGCAUGCCUGUUCGAGCGUCAUUUCAACCAUCAAGCCCUGCUUGUGUUGGGGUCCUGCGGCUGCCCGCAGGCCCUGAAAACCAGUGGCGGGCUCGCUAGUCACACCGAGCGCAGUAGCACAUCUCGCUCAGGGCGUGCGGCGGGCUCCAGCCGUUAAAGCACCCACCUUUCGCAAGGUUGACCUCGGAUCAGGUAGGAAUACCCGCUGAACUUAAGCAUAUCAAUAAGCGGAGG
rnacentral:misc_RNA from 1 species